CGUUGCAUGUAAUUCAAUUUCUAUUGGCGUGCAAUCUAAUAGCUUUUCGGGUUUUGAUUUUAUAUGGCUUACGGUAUUAGAAAUGGCUGCAAGUUAUAUGACUCCCACAUUUUUGACAUUUGGCUUCUGAAGGAAGUCAUUUUUCGGCCUAUGGUUUUGCGUAAAUCUUUUGAUUCAACAUUGUUACUUAGAAAAAGACUUGCAUCAAAUCUCAACUUCAGGAGCUCCUUCCAUUUGAUUGGUUCUCAUGUUUUUGUCUUUAUUUCCUAUGUUCUUGGUGAAUCCUGUCCUCGAGUAAAAGAUACCAUCUUUCCAAAUACCCCCUAGGCAUAAAAAUAGUGAGAACUAGAAUAAAGAGUAUUUCCUAUUCUGUUUUCCCCGGUAUACGGUUCAUUUACUUAGGACACUGUACUAAUACUUUGCGUACGGAUUCACCCAACUUUCUUUUCUUAAAUUAUUAUGUCGGUAUAGAACAAAGUUGGCAAUAAUAUUUUCUUUGAUAGAAAGAAGAAGGUUGCUUUCUUUGUCUUGUUCGUUUUAGGUUAAGUCAUUGAUUUUCUUCAUUUGAUUUGUUGUUUAGUAUAUAUAACGCAACCUUCAAACGAAAAGACGUCUUCUUUAUCAUAACUGAAAGAUGUUAUUAUCGAUAUACACGCACUACAUUUUAGAUGUACCCUAUCAACAUUCCAAUACCAUAUCUGUACCUGUACCUUUACCCGUGUACAUGCUUCAUUGGAUAUAAUCAACUCUGUAUUGGUUUAAAAAAAGUUUCUUUAAAUUCCCAUUUCUCUUAAGUAGCACUUAUUUUUUCCAUGGUUUUUAGGGUUUUGACGAAGUUGAGAAACAAGCAGAUUGGUCUGCCUACGUGAGUAAUGCUAGUAUGGAAGUUUGUCAAAACCUUGACUUGUACGUAUUUGUAUUGGUUAGGACCUAGUGUUGCAUUAGUUUUGAAGUGUUUAUGGGAUGUUUGCAUUGUGUCCAUUACUGUCUCAUAGUUCUUCGCUGAUUUUUACUAUAUUUUCUUUGCUAAUUUAUUUUUAAUUACUAGACUCCCCAGUUUCAGAAUCCUACUCUAGAAGUUAUAUUCUUACUUCUUAGGAAGAAGUUGUAGCUCUCUGCCAUGCUUUUGCCUUUUUCUUUUUUCAUUUGGCAUAUUGUGCAUAUUACUGCCUAGAAAAUGAUUCUUUAGUCUAGGUUGACCCUUGCUUUUUUGUCUGGUUGGAAGAGUUGCGGGCAACAAUUAGCAGCCAAAGAAGAUUCAGUUCUUGUAACUAUUGUCAACUCUAAUAUGCAAGUUUUGCAUACACGCAUUGCAGCUUUCUUUCUUUAUUUUUCUUGUGGUGGGGAAGCAAAGGUUUUGUUCACCAAAAGGAGCAAAGUUUUGGGGAGUUAAAUCCAAUUCCCCAAAAGGCUUAGCUUCCCAAGCACCUCUUUCAAGUUGGAAACUAGGAAUUCAACCUACGUGAAAAGUUCUACAUGAGAUGCAAUACUCCUCUCACUUUAGAAAAAAAUAAAUGGGCAAGGGAGCAAUUUAGGAAAUAUCAUAUUAUAAGCAAGGGAGCAUUUUAGAAACUUUUGGGCCACCUGAAGUUUUCCAAGCAAUUGGCCACUUACAAUUUUUGCUGCUAUGCUGAAAAGUUAUAUAUGAGAUGUUGUAAUACACGUGUCACUUCGAAAAAGGAUUUAUAUGCAAGUGAGCAAUUUAGAAAUUCUUGGGCCACUUGAAGUUCUCAAAGCAAAAGGUCACUUUUCAAUUUCCCCCAAACUUUGUGAAUCUGUUUAUGAGUUUGCCCACCAUCAAAUCCUUCUUGCUUUGAGCUAAACCUCCAUACUAAAUCACCUUUCAUAUCUGUGAUUUCUUUGAUCUACACUAUCACUAAUUACUUUGAUCUGCACCAUAUUUUGAUCACCUUCAAUAAAUCUAGUUUUUGCUAAAGUUAGUGCUAUCUCACUCAAACUGAACUUAAAUGACUUGAACUUGCAUCAGUUGGUCUAUUAACUGAAUAGCAGAUCGGAGUUUAGAGUCAAACAUGUGUUUAUGCUCUGAUCAGGAAAUGAAAUGCAAUGAGAAAGUUUUUCACCGUUUAAUUGUGACAGAUAUGACAUGCAUGGCAUUCCUUUGUGCACUUUUCUACCGAAUCUAUAAAUAUCUUUAUGCUUCUCUUUUUAUUUUUAUUUUAUCCGUUUAUGCUUCUCUUCCAAACAUCUCUUUCUGACGUACUCAAGGUAAGAAUCUCUAAAUGUCUUAUUCACCUUCUGUAUGCCUAGAACUCUGGAGUUUGAAACAUCACUUAUCUUUGACCGAAUAGUUCUCACCAAGCAAUGGUAUGUUGAUGUGGUAGCACAAUUCAAACUAAUGCAUUUCCAAUUGAAUUGGCUGGAGGGUUGUAUGAAGAUCUUUCAUCAGUGGCAGCAUUGGUAGAAGCUGAAGCUGCUGUUGGAAAUGCUGUUUAUAUGCUUCCUUCAUUCUAUAAUCAUGACUGUGCUCCAAAUGCACACAUUGUUUGGAUAGAAACUUCAGAUGCAAGAGUGAAUGAUCUCCAUGGUAUUGUAGCAGCUUUAUGCUACAUGCCUUCUGUAAUUCUGAUGUGGAAAUCAUGGGCUGAUUUCUUACUUCUCAAAGACAUUGAACAAGUUAAUUGUUUGGGGAGAAAAAAAAGACAUUUAAAAAUAGUCUAAAUACUCUUUUUUGGCCAUAGAGUAUUGGGAUUUGUAAGCAAUUGUCUACCUCUCUCAACUGAGGUUCUUUUAGUGUUCACUCGAUUACGUUGCACUUCAGAAGAGUAUACCCAGCAUAGGACCCCGUAAAAUGCUCCAGCAUCCUUUUCAUGGAGCAUGAUACCUAACUGCACUUAUCGUAUGUUCUGUAAUGUUUCUUCUUUUUUCUAUCUUCCUGAUAUGAUGGCUGGAUUUGUGGGUUAAUCUUGGGAUUAGAGACUUUAGUUUUGCCAUGAAACUAGAUCAAACAGUUAUUUCUUGUUAAGUUGCUCAAUGAUACAGCAUUUGCUGCUAUGAGUCAUUUAGUUGAAUUUCCAUCAUUGUAGAACAAUGCAUUACAUGAGAGCUAUAUAUGACAUUAUAGCAACUCUUAACUGGCAGGUUCUGGAAAAUGCAGGAAUUAAUUAACUUCGCCACUGAUCGUAAAAGUGUAGAUGAAGCCACAAAAACGAGUCGGUUAGGGAGUACAUCACGUUUUGCUGACUUUCAGUCAUGCUGAUUCUCAGUCAGGUUAGAGUCUCACUAUCUUUUAGUUGUAGUCGAUUGUAGUGGCUAAGUAAAUUCACAAUGAGGAGAUAUCAUUAUGACUGUGGAAUACUAAGAAUACAAAAUAGAAAUGCAACUAGGUAUACGGCAAGUCAGAUUGGAAGAAGAACCUUCCAUCCGUAGAGGAAUUUCUUCUGCCGCCUCCUUUCUUGUACUCAUUCAUUGAUGGGGCUUUUGAAAGUAAAUCUGCAGCUGCUUCUUUGGGCUAGAUCCAGAGAAAAAGUAUGCUACCGCCUACCAAUGAUGCGUACAAGCCUCCUGUUGGACAAAAAACGGUGGGAAAAAGGACAAUAUUUCCACUGAAAAUUUUCUUGGAAGAUCUUGUCCAAUGUAAGAUGAAGUUUGAUCUCUAGUGGAUCUUUGAGUUGGAUUUGAAUGCAAGGAUCUUUAUUCGUGUGGUAAAAGGAUAUGAUGGCAAUAUAAAGUGUGGGUUUCUCAAGAGGUAGCGUGCAUUGUGCCGACUCAAAUUGUUUGAUACCGCCGAUGAAGAGCUGCAGAUUUGCUAUGUUGAUGCUAGUAUGGUCCAUGAAGCUCGCCAAAAGCUCCUUUGUAAUGAGUUUGGAUUUAGAUGUCGUUGCCUCAAGUGUUUGUUGGGUGAUUGAUCUUUACAAUCUGCACGAGGUCGAAGGGUUUCCUUAUCUCUGUCAGCUUUUAACUUCUCUUGUACAAGGUGGAUCGAGGCAAUGCGAAUAUCCAUUUGCGUUUUUUACCAACCAAUGACAGGGACAUGAUACAAUUUCUGCUUUCAUUAUUUUUGUGCAGAUGAAAGGUGAAGUACCUUUGAAUCCGUUUCUGCUUAUUUAAGAAUGUUACUUCUGUUUGGAAUGCCUAAAGUUGACAUGAAGCUCCACUUCCACGGCAAUGCUCAAGGCUGAGCUAGUUGGAAGACAGAUUUGGUUGUCAAAACCGUACCUAACUUCUUAUAGUGAAACACGGGUUUG